rnacentral:rRNA from 1 species
UACGUAGGGACCAAGCGUUGUUCGGAAUUACUGGGCGUAAAGGGUGCGUAGGCGGUUAUAUAAGUUAGAUGUGAAAUCCCUAGGCUUAACCUGGGAACUGCGUUUAAUACUGUAUAGCUAGAGUACUGAAGAGGUUAGUGGAAUUUCCAGUGUAGCGGUGAAAUGCGUAGAUAUUGGAAGGAACACCAGUGGCGAAGGCGACUAACUGGUCAGAUACUGACGCUGAGGCACGAAAGCGUGGGGAGCAAACAGG